ACAUCUAGGAAAAGAUGCAACCUACAGAUGAGCUUGUGAUCGAGGGGUGGAUCUGAUCACAGAGGCUAUCACACAGGUCACCCAUGAAUGUGAAGCAUGUGCUGCAAUCAGGGAGUAAAGUAGCAGGAGUGACAUGAACCGACGGUGAGUGAAUUUUACGAGGAGCGAGGAGAGUGCGACGAUAGCCCGGGCAGGGCCGGUGUCGGUGCCGAAGGAUCGUGUGUGUCGCUUCUGUCCCGAGCACCCAUCUUGAUGGAAUGGAGCCCAAGUCACGGCCUGUUUUUAAACAUCCGGAGGGGUGGAGGAAACCCAUGGAAUGGGAAAAUAAUAUCUAUCUUUGAAAGGAAGGGAGACAUUAGUUAAUGAAAAUGUAUACGUGUGUUGGGCAUAAAGAUGGUUUAAGCAUGGAGUUUAAGUUGUAAGCGUUGGUAAGAAGGGAUUUCAGUCAUGACAAAUAAAUAAAUUCAGGCAAAUAAAUACAACGGAAUAAUUGGAAGACAGAUAUAUAAAUAUAAUUCUGUGGCAUCUGAGUAUGAUGCAAAUGGUGUCAAGUAAGGGGUGGAGAUUGCAUUGGGUGUGGCUGAGAUGGAGUUUGUUUUCCCCAUAGCGGCCAUCAGUGCCAUGCUUUGCAUUGGUAACUAGAAGGGUGUUGAUAACACCCCAGUGUUUUGGCUACUGCUGGGCAGUGUUGGCACAGCAUCAGCGCUGUCUCUCCAACAUUCUGUCCCUCAUCAGUAGGCUGGGGGCGGGAGGAGACACCACUAGACCAGGUGACCCAAACUGGCCAGAGGGCUAUUCUGUACCAUAUGAUGACUUCAGCUCAGAAAUAAAAGCUGAGUUAAGGAGAGGGAAGGGGGCACAUUCGCUAUUUACAACGUUUGCCUUUUGGAGCAACCCCUACGCGUGCUGAAGCCCUGCUUCUUGGAAAGUGGUCGGACAGUGCUUGCUGAUGGGAACUAGCGGAUAUAAUUAUUUGUUUUUCCUGUUUGCUUUUUCGUGCGAAAACUUUCUCUUUUCCUUUAGUAAACUGCCUUAGCUCACCCUGUGA